rnacentral:tRNA from 1 species
GGAGAGGUGGCCGAGUGGUCGAAGGCGCUCCCCUGCUAAGGGAGUAUAGGUUCAAAAGGCUUAUCGAGGGUUCGAAUCCCUCUCUCUCCGCCA